rnacentral:rRNA from 1 species
AAAUUGAAGAGUUUGAUCAUGGCUCAGAUUGAACGCUGGCGGCAGGCCUAACACAUGCAAGUCGAGCGGUAGCACAGAGAGCUUGCUCUCGGGUGACGAGCGGCGGACGGGUGAGUAAUGUCUGGGAAACUGCCUGAUGGAGGGGGAUAACUACUGGAAACGGUAGCUAAUACCGCAUAACGUCGCAAGACCAAAGAGGGGGACCUUCGGGCCUCUUGCCAUCAGAUGUGCCCAGAUGGGAUUAGCUAGUAGGUGGGGUAACGGCUCACCUAGGCGACGAUCCCUAGCUGGUCUGAGAGGAUGACCAGCCACACUGGAACUGAGACACGGUCCAGACUCCUACGGGAGGCAGCAGUGGGGAAUAUUGCACAAUGGGCGCAAGCCUGAUGCAGCCAUGCCGCGUGUAUGAAGAAGGCCUUCGGGUUGUAAAGUACUUUCAGCGGGGAGGAAGGUGUUGUGGUUAAUAACCACAGCAAUUGACGUUACCCGCAGAAGAAGCACCGGCUAACUCCGUGCCAGCAGCCGCGGUAAUACGGAGGGUGCAAGCGUUAAUCGGAAUUACUGGGCGUAAAGCGCACGCAGGCGGUCUGUCAAGUCGGAUGUGAAAUCCCCGGGCUCAACCUGGGAACUGCAUUCGAAACUGGCAGGCUAGAGUCUUGUAGAGGGGGGUAGAAUUCCAGGUGUAGCGGUGAAAUGCGUAGAGAUCUGGAGGAAUACCGGUGGCGAAGGCGGCCCCCUGGACAAAGACUGACGCUCAGGUGCGAAAGCGUGGGGAGCAAACAGGAUUAGAUACCCUGGUAGUCCACGCCGUAAACGAUGUCGACUUGGAGGUUGUGCCCUUGAGGCGUGGCUUCCGGAGCUAACGCGUUAAGUCGACCGCCUGGGGAGUACGGCCGCAAGGUUAAAACUCAAAUGAAUUGACGGGGGCCCGCACAAGCGGUGGAGCAUGUGGUUUAAUUCGAUGCAACGCGAAGAACCUUACCUACUCUUGACAUCCAGAGAACUUUCCAGAGAUGGAUUGGUGCCUUCGGGAACUCUGAGACAGGUGCUGCAUGGCUGUCGUCAGCUCGUGUUGUGAAAUGUUGGGUUAAGUCCCGCAACGAGCGCAACCCUUAUCCUUUGUUGCCAGCGGUUAGGCCGGGAACUCAAAGGAGACUGCCAGUGAUAAACUGGAGGAAGGUGGGGAUGACGUCAAGUCAUCAUGGCCCUUACGAGUAGGGCUACACACGUGCUACAAUGGCGCAUACAAAGAGAAGCGACCUCGCGAGAGCAAGCGGACCUCAUAAAGUGCGUCGUAGUCCGGAUUGGAGUCUGCAACUCGACUCCAUGAAGUCGGAAUCGCUAGUAAUCGUAGAUCAGAAUGCUACGGUGAAUACGUUCCCGGGCCUUGUACACACCGCCCGUCACACCAUGGGAGUGGGUUGCAAAAGAAGUAGGUAGCUUAACCUUCGGGAGGGCGCUUACCACUUUGUGAUUCAUGACUGGGGUGAAGUCGUAACAAGGUAACCGUAGGGGAACCUGCGGUUGGAUCACCUCCUUACCUUAAAGAA